rnacentral:rRNA from 1 species
UACGUAGGGGGCAAGCGUUGUCCGGAAUCAUUGGGCGUAAAGAGCGUGUAGGCGGUCCGUUAAGUCGGCUGUGAAAGUCCAAGGCUCAACCUUGGGAUGCCGGUCGAUACUGCCGGACUAGAGUUCGGAAGAGGCGAGUGGAAUUCCUGGUGUAGCGGUGAAAUGCGCAGAUAUCGGGAGGAACACCUAUGGCGAAGGCAGCUCGCUGGGACGGUACUGACGCUGAGACGCGAAAGCGUGGGGAGCGAACAGG